rnacentral:lncRNA from 1 species
CACACAGCAGAGGGCCUAACUGCUUGGCGAAUGUUAGCCGCUCUCAGCCUAGAGUGUCUCUCAAGAGCAAUGGGACUUGCAUUUUAAGACAACGUCCCCACGAAUCAUGAUCAGGACCAAAUCCUGACCCCACAGCCCAGAGGCAGGUCUUUCCAUGCCACCCCGCUCACCGCCCUGUGGCUCCAGCUACUUUUGAUUGAAAAACUGAGAACUGUAAAAAUGAAAAGCCCCAAGCAAAGACCGGCCUGUCCCUGACCACAGGGGCUGACCCAAACCCCAGGAAUCCCUGGGCUCAGAUCUGCUCUUUCUGCCCUGGCAGCAUAGCCCUGAGAUCAGGAUGCUCAAGUUCAAGGUACUGACGUUGAGGCUGCCAUGCCUCCACCCACUGAGCACCGAGCCUUUGCUUACUCAUAAUGAGACCUUCGGAAGAGCUACUUCCUAAUCUCCUGGAAAAUCCUACGGUCUGCUUAGCAGAGGAAUCUUCAGUGGCGUCUUGCCCGAUAAUCAAUGAGGCUCGACCCCAGCAAAUACCAGUCAGGAUUCGGCAGGUAAAAGGCAAUCCUGCGAAGCAUAAGCCAAAGAAAUUAUCUGGGGAGUAUGCGGGAAACAAAUGUCUCAGUUCAGAGUCUGGCGAUCGGGUGGUGGCAGAGCAGAGCUGUUAGCCCUUUGGCCGGGGGCUGAAUGUGAGGGCCCAGCCCACCCACAGAGAGCCCCCUUGGUCAUUUCAGACCGCUCAUCUGAGUAGCUGCUUGGUGCAGGGAACAGAAAAAAGAAACCCGAGACAUAGCUCUUGGGCUCUGGGAUCGUAGACUACGAAACAAAAUGUUCCAGCCCACAGCGCUGUCUACCUUCAGGAGAGAUGCCACUAGCUGUGGAAAAGGCACCGAGGUGGGACAGGUCUGGGCUCUGAAGGCUCAUCGGGCUUGGAUCUUGGGGUGAGCAUGGGUGGUGAGCUACGGGGAACAGCACCCGCCUUCAUGCCAUCAGCAGCCUGGAUUUCCUACCAUGGUCAGAAUCACGAGAGCAUAAGGCGGCAGUUUCUGCAGGACUGGGCUCCAUGGAUGAAGCAGCUCCAGGAACCGAGUGUGCGGGCUCUUGCUUGGAAUGUCACUGUUGUCGUCAUCACAAAACAUCUAUCAAUGUGUUUAUCAUCGUUGGCUGCAAGACGCUAGGCUGUGCGAAUCAGGACGGGCUCAGUUCUCUGAGACGAUGUAAUUGGCAUUGCAGAGGUAGAGAGCUGACGUGGCCUGCGCCCAAGUCGCCCGGGGUCUUUAGUAACCCAACGAGCACAGGUUCUGGC